GGGGAUUUUUGGGAGAGCUCGGCGCACCUCCAGACAACCCUUUGUGAACUUAUACCUAUACUGUUGCCUCGGCGUCAGGCUGGCUCCCCUCGGGGGGUCCCUCACCAUCUCGGUGAGGAGCAGGCCCGCCGGCGGCCAAGUUAACUCUUGUUUUUACACUGAAACUCUGAGAAUAAAACAAAAAUGAAUCAAAACUUUCAACAACGGAUCUCUUGGUUCUGGCAUCGAUGAAGAACGCAGCGAAAUGCGAUAAGUAAUGUGAAUUGCAGAAUUCAGUGAAUCAUCGAAUCUUUGAACGCACAUUGCGCCCUCUGGUAUUCCGGAGGGCAUGCCUGUUCGAGCGUCAUUUCAACCCUCAAGCCUGGCUUGGUGAUGGGACACUGCCUUUGAGAAAAGGCAGGUCCUGAAAUUCAGUGGCGAGCUCGCCAGGACCCCGAGCGCAGUAGUUAAACCCUCGCUUUGGAAGGUCUUGGUGCGGCCCUGCCGUUAAACCCCCAACUUCUGAAAAUUUGACCUCGGAUCAGGUAGGAAUACCCGC
rnacentral:rRNA from 1 species